AGAGUUUGAUCAUGGCUCAGAUUGAACGCUGGCGGCAGGCCUAACACAUGCAAGUCGAGCGGAUGAGGGGAGCUUGCUCCCUGAUUCAGCGGCGGACGGGUGAGUAAUGCCUAGGAAUCUGCCUGGUAGUGGGGGACAACGUUUCGAAAGGAACGCUAAUACCGCAUACGUCCUACGGGAGAAAGCAGGGGACCUUCGGGCCUUGCGCUAUCAGAUGAGCCUAGGUCGGAUUAGCUAGUUGGUGAGGUAAUGGCUCACCAAGGCGACGAUCCGUAACUGGUCUGAGAGGAUGAUCAGUCACACUGGAACUGAGACACGGUCCAGACUCCUACGGGAGGCAGCAGUGGGGAAUAUUGGACAAUGGGCGAAAGCCUGAUCCAGCCAUGCCGCGUGUGUGAAGAAGGUCUUCGGAUUGUAAAGCACUUUAAGUUGGGAGGAAGGGUUGUAGAUUAAUACUCUGCAAUUUUGACGUUACCGACAGAAUAAGCACCGGCUAACUCUGUGCCAGCAGCCGCGGUAAUACAGAGGGUGCAAGCGUUAAUCGGAAUUACUGGGCGUAAAGCGCGCGUAGGUGGUUUGUUAAGUUGGAUGUGAAAGCCCCGGGCUCAACCUGGGAACUGCAUCCAAAACUGGCAAGCUAGAGUACGGUAGAGGGUGGUGGAAUUUCCUGUGUAGCGGUGAAAUGCGUAGAUAUAGGAAGGAACACCAGUGGCGAAGGCGACCACCUGGACUGAUACUGACACUGAGGUGCGAAAGCGUGGGGAGCAAACAGGAUUAGAUACCCUGGUAGUCCACGCCGU
rnacentral:rRNA from 1 species